rnacentral:rRNA from 1 species
UACGUAGGGUGCAAGCGUUAAUCGGAAUUACUGGGCGUAAAGCGUGCGCAGGCGGUUAUAUAAGACAGAUGUGAAAUCCCCGGGCUCAACCUGGGAACUGCAUUAGUGACUGUAUAGCUAGAGUGCGGCAGAGGGGGAUGGAAUUCCGCGUGUAGCAGUGAAAUGCGUAGAUAUGCGGAGGAACACCAAUGGCGAAGGCAAAUCCCCCUGGGGCCUGUACUACGUACGGACCGUCUACUAGUCGACCGAAAAACGGAAACGGUCGGGGGUAGGGGGACGAAACCAAAAC